UACGUAGGGUGCGAGCGUUAAUCAGAAUUACUGGGCGUAAAGCGGGCGAAGGCGGUUUUGUAAGUCAGAGGUGAAAUCCCCGGGCUUAACCUGGGAACUGCGUUUGAAACUACAAGGCUAGAGUGUGGCAGAGGGGGGUGGAAUUCCACGUGUAGCAGUGAAAUGCGUAGAGAUGUGGAGGAACACCGAUGGCGAAGGCAGCCCCCUGGGUUAACACUUACGCUCAGGCACGAAAGCGUUGGGAGCAAACAGG
rnacentral:rRNA from 1 species